rnacentral:rRNA from 1 species
UUUUAGUUCAYUAUUUUCUAUUUUGAUUUUAUAAUUAUUUUAGAUUUUUUAUUAAGAUUAUUUAAUUAAUUUUWAAAUUUKYGUAAUAAUGAUAGAAUUAGUAUAUUUACUGUAUAUAAUUUUACCUMSYGAAYUUUUWAUAACAACUAGGCAAAAUUGAUUUCCGCCUGUUUAUCAAAAACAUGUCCUCUUGAAAAUACUUUGAGGUCUGGCCUGCUCACUGAGCGGAUUUUUAAAGAGCCGCGGUAUUUUGACCGUGCAAAGGUAGCAUAAUCAUUAGUCUCUUAAUUAGUGGCUGGAAUGAAUGGCUUGACGAGAAAUCAACUGUCUCUUAAUAAAUUUUUGAAUUUAACUUUUGAGUCAAAAGGCUUAAAUUUUUCUUUAGGACGAGAAGACCCUAUAGAGCUUAACAUUUUACUUUUAUAUAGUUUUUUGUUUGUCUUUCUAUAUUUAAUGAUGAUGUUUUGUCGGGGUGACAUGAAGGAUAAAUAAACUCUUCAUUAUUAUAUCAUUUAUUUAUGUUUGUUGUUUUGAUCCAUAAUUUAUGAUCAUAAGAUUAAGUUACCUUAGGGAUAACAGCGUAAUUGUUUUUGAGAGC